rnacentral:pre_miRNA from 1 species
AGUGGGAUUUUUGGAUAAUGUGACAGUUCUAUUUUAAAUUUUUUGAGGAACAUUCAUGCUGCUCUCCACAGUGGCUGCAUCAUUUUACAUUCCCACCAGCAGU